AUGAAUAUAGACAUACUUUAAAAUAUAAUUUAUUUAUUUUAUUCUAUAUGUAGUCUAUAAUGAAAUCUUUAAAAAGACCUGAUGGGAGGUAGUACAUUGUCUCUCUUGCUAUAUUAACUCGGUUUAGUCUAAUGUUCACUCCAUCAUUUCUUUUCUCCACCGAUGUAUUGACCGCCAUGAGUCCAAUGAACAAAGCACCAGGCUCCACUGAUGUACGUGCGUUGCACGUGGGAGAUUUACUACUCGGGGCACGUACGUACCAAACGGCCCCAAAUUGAUGGGCGCGUAGCCAUUUGUGGGCGGG
rnacentral:lncRNA from 1 species